rnacentral:rRNA from 1 species
AGCCUGAACGCUGGCGGCGUGGCUAAGACAUGCAAGUCGUACGGGUGGAGCAAUCCACCAGUGGCGGACGGGUGAGUAAAGUAUCGCUAACGUACCCCAGAGUCUGAGAUAGCCGGUCGAAAGGCCGGGUAAUACCAGAUGACAUGACCGCAGGGCAUCCUGUGGUUCUCAAAGGGCAACCACUUUGGGAGCGGGCGAUAUCGUAUCAGGUAGUUGGCGGGGUAACGGCCCACCAAGCCGACGACGCGUAGCUGGUCUGAGAGGACGACCAGCCACAUCGGGACUGAGACACUGCCCGGACUCCUACGGGGGGCUGCAGUAACGAAUCUUCCGCAAUGCACGCAAGUGUGACGGAGCGACGCCGCGUGGAGGACGAAGUCCUUCGGGAUGUAAACUCCUGUCAGGGGCUACCAAGUUCUGACGGGGCCCCAGGAGGAAGGCACGGCUAACUCUGCGCCAGCAGCCGC